UACAGAGGGUGCGAGCGUUGUUCGGAAUUAUUGGGCGUAAAGGGCUCGUAGGCGGUCUGUCACGUCGGGAGUGAAAACACGGGGCUUAACCCCGUGCCUGCUUCCGAUACGGGCAGACUAGAGGUAUGCAGGGGAGAACGGAAUUCCUGGUGUAGCGGUGAAAUGCGUAGAUAUUGGGAGGAACACCAGAUGCGAAGGCGGGUCACUGGGCUGAUACUGACGCUGAAGUGCGAAAGCCAGGGGAGCGAACGGG
rnacentral:rRNA from 1 species